UCUUUUCCUCUCUCUUCCUUGAAAAACCAUCGAGGGAACUCGCUCUUCUCUGCCAACAAUACCACCCAGAACAGACCCUUCUCGCUCUCUACUCAACCAAGAAGACUGCUUCGCAGACCCCCUCAGGGCAAGUAUGUUAGAGAAGACUAUCUUGUGAAAAAGAAGACUGCACAGGAGAUACAGGAGCUGGUUUUUCAAGGAAGAGAGAGGAAAAGA
rnacentral:misc_RNA from 1 species